CAGCCGCCACGGUAAUACGAAGGGGGCUAGCGUUGUUCGGAAUUACUGGGCGUAAAGCGCACGCAGGCGGCUCGAUAAAUUAGAAGUGAAAGCCUUGGGCUUAACCUGAGAAUUGCUUUUAAGACUGUCGAGCUAGAAUCCAGAAGAGGGUAGUGGAAUUCCGAGUGUAGAGGUGAAAUUCGUAGAUAUUCGGAAGAACACCGGUGGCGAAGGCGACUACCUGGUCUGGCAUUGACGCUCAUGUGCGAAAGCGUGGGGAGCAAACAGGAUUAGAUACCCCUGUAGUCCCUGUCUCUUAUAC
rnacentral:rRNA from 1 species